GACGAACGCUGGCGGCGUGCUUAUCACAUGCAAGUCGAACGGAAAGGCCCUGCUUUUGUGGGGUGCUCGGGUGGCGAACGGGUGAGUAACACGUGAGUAACCUGCCCUUGACUUUGGGAUAACUUCAGGAAACUGGGGCUAAUACCGGAUAGGAGCUCCUGCUGCAUGGUGGGGGUUGGAAAGUUUCGGCGGUUGGGGAUGGACUCGCGGCUUAUCAGCUUGUUGGUGGGGUAGUGGCUUACCAAGGCUUUGACGGGUAGCCGGCCUGAGAGGGUGACCGGCCACAUUGGGACUGAGAUACGGCCCAGACUCCUACGGGAGGCAGCAGUGGGGAAUAUUGCACAAUGGGCGGAAGCCUGAUGCAGCAACGCCGCGUGCGGGAUGACGGCCUUCGGGUUGUAAACCGCUUUCGCCUGUGACGAAGCGUGAGUGACGGUAAUGGGUAAAGAAGCACCGGCUAACUACGUG
rnacentral:rRNA from 1 species